AACAAAUCUUUGUCGAACACUUCCUGAACAAGAACAAUCCUGAUGAGAUGUGGAAACGGAAACAGAGAGCAAUCCAUCGAUUGAGCUUUUUCAGAAUCACUUACGAGGUUUAAGAGUCCAGUAGAUCAGAAACAGAGAUUCGUCAAUCGAAUGAAACAAUAAUCGAUUGCCAUUGAAAUUGAAAAAUGAAUCGAGUAUCGGAAUCACCUGUUUCCCCAAUUUGACGACGACGUAUGGAUCGCUACUUCUGAAAUCUCGAAUCACGAGAUUUUUCCCUUGGAUUACGAUGACUUUCAGCCGCCCUGAUUCCGAAGGUUUCGCCGCCAUUACUUCUGGACUUAGCUGGGAAAUUUCGAAUUGAUUCUUCAACAAUGGAAGUCGAGAAAGCUUGUUUGAGGAUGGACGAAGAAAAUAGAAAGGUUUUGUGGUUUCAAAGAUGAAGAAAUUGUAGAUUUUAUUAACACAGAACCAAAUCCAUACAGGUAAAUCUCAAAUUGGAUGUAGUUUUCUUUUUAAUUGCCAACGCAACUGGAAAUCCACUCAAACAAAGUGACGAAA